UGUUGUUGCUGCUGCUGCUGUUGCUGGUGGUGGAAGUGCUGAGCCUGCUGGUAGGCAAGCUGGUGUGGAGAAUUAGAGAAACUGGAUGGUGGCUGAGUUGGGGGAAUUGUAAUAGCAGGAGUCCCAGAAGCCACCAUCGGAGCUGUUUGGUAAGGAUUAGAAUAUGGUAAUUGACCUGCACUGACACCGCCUGCAGGCUGCUGUGAUUGUUGCUGAUGCUGAGAACGCUCUGAUUGAUCCAUGGCUCACAAUACUUGGUGUAUUGCUCUGAUUUUCAAACAAGAAAGCGAAGUUGAGCAAAGCUCAUGAGUAGCAGAGCAGAA
rnacentral:misc_RNA from 1 species